AUUUUUUUUGCUAUGUUAUGUAUGUACUUGAUGUUUUUAUAUCCUGCUGUAAUGUGUGAAUGUUUGUCUUAAUAUGUGUGUUUUGUUUGCAUGUUAUUUGCUUGUGUGUAAUUUUUAUAAAUGUCGAUUUUAAAAGCUCACUAGUGAUUGUGUUACUUUGUUUACUAUGUACGACAAUAAAUAAAACUUUGAUUUGAUUUGAAUAGACAAACUAUUAACACAAAUUGUGAUGAUUUUAUAUUACAGACAUUGAACCUGUUCCAAUUUUCAUAAUGUAAAACCAAUCAAUCCCAUAAUUUUGUAUACAGGACCUUUGUACCUCAUACAUGGUAACUUGUGUUUUAUGUUCAUAUGUUUGUCUUUGUGCUUAACAAUUGUCUAUUAAAAGUAUGGCAAUAAUAUAUAUUCUCACAAGCUCAGUGUGUUAUCUUGCUGUACACCUUGCCUUAUGUGUACUUAUGCAAUGUUGUAAGUCAUUUUAAUGGAAUUAGAUCUACAUGAAAAAUGAAUCAGAAA
rnacentral:lncRNA from 1 species